CUCUCUCUCUCUCUCUCUCUCUCUUUCUCACAUACUCACACAGCACCGCAGACCUCUCCACCACCGAGCUCAAGCACUCAUAUUCCAACAACAGUUACUUCUCUAGGAAACAUUUCAACAACUAAUGCCACAGUUUCUAUUUCAGCCUCAACGGCAUCAGAUCAGCCAAAUGAUGCCAAAAUACCAGACUGGCAGAUUUACCUCAUUGCCUCUGUAUGUGUCUUACUGCUGACGUCUGUGAUUUGGAUUCAGGUGAUUUUAG